UAAUCCGACCUAGGCUCAUCUGAUAGCGCAAGGCCCGAAGGUCCCCUGCUUUCUCCCGUAGGACGUAUGCGGUAUUAGCGUCCGUUUCCGAGCGUUAUCCCCCACUACCAGGCAGAUUCCUAGGCAUUACUCACCCGUCCGCCGCUCGCCACCAGGUACAAGUACCCGUGCUGCCGCUCGACUUGCAUGUGUUAGGCCUGCCGCCAGCGUUCAAUCUGAGCCAGGAUCAAACUCU
rnacentral:rRNA from 1 species